UAAUACGAGAGGCCCGAACGUUAUUCGGAAUUACUGGGCUUAAAGAGUCCGUAGGCGGCUCAGAAAGUGGGGUGUGAAAGCCCUCGGCUCAACCGAGGAAUUGCGCUCCAAACUACUGAGCUCGAGGGACCUAGAGGUGAGCGGAACUGAUGGUGGAGCGGUGAAAUGCGUUGAUAUCAUCAGGAACACCGGAGGCGAAGGCGGCUCACUGGGGGUCUUCUGACGCUGAGGGACGAAAGCUAGGGGAGCAAACGGGAUUAGAUACCCCGGUAGUCCUAGCUGUAAACGAUGAGCACUGGACCGGAGAUCUGCACAGGUUUUCGGUCGUAGCGAAAGUGUUAAGUGCUCCGCCUGGGGAGUAUGGUCGCAAGGCUG
rnacentral:rRNA from 1 species